AGAGAACGUUUAAAAGUCCAUCUGUUACCAUCGUACAGUGAACGUGAAACUCAUCUUCUGUGAUCGAAUAAGAAAUUGUUUUCGGGUAUUCUCACAACUAUGAAGCUUGUGCUUGUUACUAUGGUUGCCUUGCUGUCAAUCACCUGGGUUAGCUCCUCCUUCUUGCGAUCCAAGUUGACGCUUGACGACUUUAACGACGAGGAGCCUUGGCUUGAAAAGCGUGAGCCUUGUGAGGCUGGAUCGUACUGCGAACGAAGCUGCUCCCUGUCCAGCCCUAAUUUCUUGGGUAUUGUGGGCUUUUGUAGCAACGGACGCAAAUGUUGCGCGUAUGAAGGCUGAUGCAAGUCCUUAUGGUGAGGAAAGGAUCCUACAACUUUACAAAGGAUCAGAAUUCCUAAAACCCAAAUUAUACUUUGCAUGGGUCGUUUAAACAGUUCCAGUAAAUGUUAUUCCACAAAAUAAAAAUGGCUUACUGUGAUUGGUUA